rnacentral:tRNA from 1 species
GUACCUGUAGCUCAGUUGGAUAGAGCGUCUGGCUACGGACCAGAAGGCCGGGGGUUCGAAUCCCUCCAGGUACGCCA